CACGUAGGAGGCGAGCGUUGUCCGGAAUCAUUGGGCGUAAAGAGCGCGCAGGCGGCCCGGCAAGUCGGGUGUGAAAUCUCGGGGCUCAACCCCGGAACUGCAUCCGAUACUGCCGGGCUAGAGGUAGGUAGGGGAGAUCGGAAUUCCCGGUGUAGCGGUGAAAUGCGCAGAUAUCAGGAGGAACACCGGUGGCGAAGGCGGAUCUCUGGGCCUUACCUGACGCUCAGGCGCGAAAGCUAGGGGAGCGAACAGG
rnacentral:rRNA from 1 species